UGUUGUAGUUUUGACUAUAAAUAGGAACUUACAUAAUAUGAAUUCUAUUCAGAGAUCCUUCAGCCUUUUCAUUAUUAGGAUGUCUCAAACCAGUACCUCACAAGAGGGAAAGUUUGGCUUAGAUGUUCUAUUUUCUAAAUCGUUCCAGUUAUUUUGUUUUAUAAUCUUUUUGAAAGGUAAAACGAAGUGUAGUAUAUGGGAAUUUAUGUUGUUGGUAUCUGUUCUCAGGGUUUUGGGGAUUUUGAUAUCAAAGGAACAAAUUUGAGCAAAUACCAGUAAAGUCAUACCCAGAACUGUGUGAAAUACGUACAAAUCGCCUCACAAAUUCAGCUCGUGUUUGCAAUAUUUUAUACAUGAAUAUUUUAAUACUAAUGUUUAACAAAUACUCACUAGUGACCUUGACAUUGCUUUAAUUUUUUGUUUGUAUUCGAAAAGGUUGAAAUAGAGAUUGAUUGGAUGAAAUUUUAUGCAAACCUAAGAUUUACAUAGUUUUGAAUGAAUUAAGUGAGAAAUUCGUAGUUUUUGUUAGUAUAGCACAUGUCGUAGAUUGAAGAUAGGAGCAAAAGUGAUUCAAAUGAGAUAUAAUUUACUAUAAAAUGUAACUUUAAGUUACAGAACAUGAUUUGUAUUCCUGAAAGGUCACUAACUUGUGUAAAAUCAACAUUUUAAAUUAGCAGUUGGUAUAAUUUGAAUUAUUUUAAGCUCCUUGUUUGA